UACGUAGGUGGCGAGCGUUGUCCGGAAUUACUGGGCGUAAAGGGUGCGUAGGCGGAUAUUUAAGUCAGAUGUGAAAUUCCAAAGCUCAACUUUGGAAUUGCAUUUGAAACUGGGUAUCUAGAGUGCAGGAGAGGAAAGCGGAAUUCCUAGUGUAGCGGUGAAAUGCGUAGAUAUUAGGAAGAACACCAGUGGCGAAGGCGGCUUUCUGGACUGUAACUGACGCUGAGGCACGAAAGCGUGGGGAGCAAACAGGAUUAGAUACCCUGGUAGUCCACGCUGUAAACGAUGAGUGCUAGGUGUAGGGGGUAUCGACACCUUCUGUGCCGCAGUAAACGCAAUAAGCACUCCGCCUGGGGAGUACGGUCGCAAGACUAAA
rnacentral:rRNA from 1 species